UGAGCUUUAAAUAUAUUUGAUUUAAAACAUGAUAAUUCAUUUCAAGAUUCAUUCAAGUUCAUGUUCUAAGUGCAAGUUUUUCAAAGUUGGGAUUAUGGGAUGGAAACUAUCUUUCUUCAAGUACAAGAUACUACAAUUCAAGGACCCAUUUUCAUUGCAAACUUUCAAAGUUUCAUUACAAAAGGAUUCAUAACAAAAUUACACCAAAAAAAUCAUAAUUUUGACCUAGGUUGACUUUUGGUCAUCUAUUGACUUUUUGGUCAAAUAGUUGACCAAAGUCAACCAACUACGCCAUAACCCUAACAUUUACUCUAGACCUAGUUUCUUCAUUUUAAUCCAUCAUCUUCAUGUCCAUGUUCCAUCAAUGCAAUGCAAUGCAUAUAUUCCAAAACCACUAACAUAUUAACUUCAAUUCUAAUUUCAACUUUUCAUAACAGUUGCCAUUCAAUUUAACAUAACUUCAUCUAACUCAUUAACAUAACUAGCAUACCUCUCCAUGAAAAUGCUAAAUAUCACAAGCCUACAUAGCUAGUAUCCAAUUCAUCAACAUGAUACUCUAAUUGUUCUAGACAAACUAUUUUUUCCACUGCAAACCAACUGCCUUUAGUUACUUUUAACCAAGUCACAUAGCUACCAUUCAAACUUCAUUAGCUUCUUAACAAUCCUGGCUAACCAAUCCAAACAGUUACGUAUUUUAGAGCAAAGUUCAACCAAUUCAAAUUCAGAUUAGGAAAAAUAUCACUAAUUCAGUUUUAUAGUUCAAACUCUAGUUCAUUUCAACAUAAUUUUCACCAAAUCAACUUACUCCAAUUCCAUGCUAUAACUAAUUUCAAGAUUUUACAAUUUAAUAACGGUGUUUCAAUUUAUUCAAACAACUAAUUUUUGAUGCUCACUGUUCCAUUCAUUACCAAUCUACAUUAAGGUUAAUUUCAAGUCUUAACACAUUCCAGUUCAAUUCCAACAUAAGUCACUAACAACAAGCAUGUAUUCAAUUCCAUAUGUACAUCACAUCAAGCAUUCAGAGUAAUAUGCAUAAAAAACAAACUUUAGUUCAUUUGCAAUUACUAACAAUAAUUAACUAUAACUACACUAACCCGCUAACUUGUGUCCAUCUUUAACAAUUCACCAGUAGUUCCCAAUUUAUUAGCAUAACAGUCGGUUUCUAUUUCACAUAAUUCCCUAACUAACUCAUUAAUAACAACCGAACUCAAUUCACAACAUUCAUUAACAAAAAAGCAUAACUGAAAUUCAAUCCCACAUUUACAAUGCAGAAAUAGAUGUAAUUCAUGCAAUCAUUUCACAGUUCACUAAUCAAACUAAUUUUUAUUCAUAAUGAUUUUAAAACAUACUACUUUAACACUAACCACAACCUUGCAUUCAAAAACCUAACUAACUAUUCAAUUUGCAACUAACACUUUCUAACCAACUGAUUCACAUCUAACAUAAUUAACUAGCAUUAUUUCACACUCUAACUGAAAUCCAAUUUGUUACUAACUAACCAUAACAACAACUUAACAUAAGCUAACUAAAUUGAUCACUUCUAACCAAAUUACACUAUGGAUUUUAACAUAGUUAGCACUGCCCCAACGGUUGCCUGAACUACCUGAAUCGGUUGCAACCUCUCACCCUAUAAAUCAUCACCAAUCAAUCAUUGUUCAGGAGGACUCUUCAAUCAUUCAUCACCUCACAAACCUAUAAGCUCACAAAAUUUUCUAAUUCACCAAUCAUUUUGGCACAUUCAUAUUCAAUUCUCAACCUCAUUGCAUAAACAAAUUCACAAACUCUUCACAACUCUCUUUGAAUAUGACUGAGGAACAAUUUGCACAACACUCUGCAAUCUUCUCACUCUCUCCAAUCAUUGGAAUUCAAUCACAAACAAUCAUCACCAAUUUCUCUCUAAAAAUCUCUUACAUACAACAAUUAAACAACAAUAGAAGAAUCACAAACCUACAAGCUACAGAAGAAGAAAAGGUGGGAUUGCAAAAGAGAAGGCUAAGGAAUUCAAAGCAUACCUCUGGUUUUCUCUUAUUCUUCAUCUUCAUUAGCUUCCCUUUAAACAAAUUCUGAGGCAAACCAUGGUCUUGCAAGUAGGUCCAAAAUUCCUAUUCUUCUUGCUCAAAUUCUGUUACUGAAUGUAGACUUAUUGUAUAUGAACCAAACCCAUAAGGCCAGAGUUCAGAUUGAAGCUCCGUUUUGAUUUAAUUUCACUUUCUUUGGCUAGGGUUCUUCAAUGGUUUGGUUCGGUUUGUAUAAAGUGUUAGGUUCUGAGGGAAAUUAAGGAGAGAUCAAGAGAGAGGACUUUAGGAGCAUCAUUUUGGUGGUCGUAGGUGUUAUUUUGCAUCACUCUGCCACCUACCGUGCGGCGGAGGAACCAACACCGGCGAGGAAGUUUUUAGAAAGGAACAUGAUACUACAAUGUGAAACAAGGAAUGAUCGAAAAUUUUAGUUUCU
rnacentral:lncRNA from 1 species